UAUGGCUUCUUAGAUCCACAUUUCAUUCAACCAGUUUCGAAUACUAUAGAUGAGCGGACAGGGUAUAUCAACGUCACCAUGCAAUAUGGCCAAAAACAAUGCUAUCUAGCGCCAUAUAUUUUAAAUGACCAUUGGAUGUUGAUGGCAAUUUGUCCUCAACUUAAUGAAAUCUAUUGGUUUGAUUCAAUUGGAGGCCAGCCACGUGAUGACAUCAAAGAUAUUGUUGAAAAGUGUGUCAAUUCAGCAAAGUUGUUGAGAAGCAAUGGAUCAACUCGUUCACCAAAAUGG